rnacentral:rRNA from 1 species
GUAGGGAAUCUUCCACAAUGGACGAAAGUCUGAUGGAGCAACGCCGCGUGAGUGAAGAAGGUCUUCGGAUCGUAAAACUCUGUUGUUAGAGAAGAACGUGCAUGAUAGUAACUGAUCAUGUAAUGACGGUAUCUAACCAGAAAGCCACGGCUAACUACGUGCCAGCAGCCGCGGUAAUACGUAGGUGGCAAGCGUUGUCCGGAUUUAUUGGGCGUAAAGGGAACGCAGGCGGUUUUUUAAGUCUGAUGUGAAAGCCUUCAGCUUAACCAUAGUAUGCUGUGGAAACUGUAAAACUUGAGUGCAGAAGGGGAGAGUGGAAUUCCAUGUGUAGCGGUGAAAUGCGUAGAUAUAUGGAGGAACACCGGUGGCGAAAGCGGCUCUCUGGUCUGUAACUGACGCUGAGGCUCGAAAGCGUGGGGAGCAAACAGGAUUAGAAACCCCUGUAGUCC